GACGAACGCUGGCGGCGUGCCUAACACAUGCAAGUCGAGCGAAUCAAUAGGAGCCUGCUCCUGUUGGUUAGCGGCGGACGGGUGAGUAACACGUGGGCAACCUGCCUGCAAGACUGGGAUAACACCGGGAAACCGGUGCUAAUACCGGAUAAUCCUUUUUCUCUCAUGAGGGAAAGCUGAAAGUCGGUUUCGGCUGACACUUACAGAUGGGCCCGCGGCGCAUUAGCUAGUUGGUGAGGUAAUGGCUCACCAAGGCGACGAUGCGUAGCCGACCUGAGAGGGUGAUCGGCCAAACUGGGACUGAGACACGGCCCAGACUCCUACGGGAGGCAGUAGUAGGGAAUCUUCCACAAUGGACGAAAGUCUGAUGGAGCAACGCCGCGUGAGCGAUGAAGGCCUUCGGGUCGUAAAGCUCUGUUGUUAGGGAAGAACAAGUACCGGAGUAACUGCCGGUACCUUGACGGUACCUAACCAGAAAGCCACGGCUAACUACGUGCCAGCCGCCGCAGUAAAAC
rnacentral:rRNA from 1 species